AGAUUCUUCUAUGGCUCACAAAAGCUCAGCCUAAAAAGAAGAGAAAUCCCAUAUCCCACUCCGGAGAUUCAGUACUGGGGCCUGGAUGAAAUAUGUUACCAAAUUUAAAGGUCUGAGGGUGAAAUCUAGAUGAGAUGUAAGAAUACAUCCCAGAGAUAAGUCCAGGUUGGCUUCACUCAGGAAGAGUCUCAGGGAAGGGGAAACCCACCACCCUGGAAAGCCGGCCCUGGAAUGCAGCAGGCACAGAGAAGAGGACUACCCUGAAGCACCAAAUCCCAAUGUCUCAAGGGCGGAGAGACAACCAAGACCAAAUGCUUCCCAGGGUGGGUCUGCAGUGCUUAGCAAAACAUGCCUCACAGACAAAACUGCAAUUGAUUAAAAUCGUGUUGUGGGCAGAAAAUUAAACCAAUAAUCAAAGAACCUGAAGGUCUGUAUUUAA